rnacentral:lncRNA from 1 species
GCAAGCAGCUUGGCCCAUAUGUGAACAAAGAGAGAAGGAAUAAGCACGGGGCCAGGGCGGAGAGUGUCUCUCAGGACUUGACUCCAGAUAGCAUUUCCUGGGAAGAUGUACCAGGCUGCAGGCUCCAGCGCAGAGAAGGAGAAGACGGAGGCGGUGGUGAUGUCAACCAAGGAAUUAAGUAAGCAGAGGAGCUGAUAACACUGCCCGACAAGCCCUGCUGUGGGCAAGGUGACUCAUCAGAGACGGGCCCCACAUCACAGGCCCCAGGGGCGCCGCGUACUGUUGUCCAAGUUGAGAACUGUACAACUGGAGGGGGCACCAUUCACCGUCCAACGCAUGUGCCAGACCGCAUGGCUGUACCUGAUGGCCCCGCCCCUUCUCAUUUCUAAAUUACUUCUCACUCCCCUCCUCCGCCUAGAAUGAUCUAUUUAGCUUGCCCUUGAUAAGUUUGUCUUCACACCAAACUUUCCCCCAUAAACAUAAACUUCCUCCUCUACUGCCUGACUCCUUUUGUUCAUUCGUUCAUUCCACAAAAAAUUGUUGAGUUUGUGCCAGGUACUGUUCUAGGCAAGUGAACCAGACAGACCCUCCCUG